rnacentral:lncRNA from 1 species
GUUAUGAUCUCUGCCUUCUUGGUAUUGUAGGUCUCUAACGAGCUGGCAUUAUGUUUAUUCUCUGAAAUUCAGUUCUUCCAAUCUUUUGUUGUAUUUUGGAGGGGAGAGAAUCCCGGGUCAGCUCACCCCGCCAUUUUGCUCCGCCACUAAUCUCCCAUUCUGUAACAGCAAUACCCGCACUCCAUCAGCAACCAUCAGUGACCCAAGCAUACCCCAAUGCUCCAGCAAGCUGGACCCUGGACACAACUGAGCCACAAGCAGAGCAUUGAAGAAAACACACCCCAGGCCAAGGAUUCAAUAAUUUGGUACAAACGCUUAGGCUGAUAAACUGGAGAAGGUGACUAUGGCAGCACAGAUCCAGGGCACCAGAAGGCAGACUGCACAGAGACCUGUGAGGGCUCUUUAUGGAUCCUGAUGGAACCAUAAGGGACACUGUAAUAGCUCUCAUUUUAUGUAUUAAGCCGUAUUUGCACAACAAUUCCAUUAUAAUACAAAGAUAAUCUUUAGAAGUAAUUUU